UUGUGGAUUCAAGCUUUAAAUUCUUUGAUUUAAAAUUAUUCGUUAAAUGGCUACUUAUUCAAGCAUUGGAUACUGAAACCCAACAAGAUUUGAAUCAUCCAAAGAUAGACUAGUGCGUUUUUUUCUAGUUUAACCUACUCAACAUGGAAUGACAUUGAAGGCGAGUUGCCAAAGAGGAAUUAAUUGACUUGGAGCAUCUGUAAGGGCAUGGUGUUACGCGUGAAAGCUUGUGAUGAAAGAUGAUCAGUGCAUGAUAUUUUCACCAAUACGGCAGCUCGAAACUGUUGAAAAACAUGAAUGAGUGACAAAGAAACAAUCCUAUUGUGACGCAAAGACUCACAUUUGACUGAAAUAACCGGUGAUAUUAGUUAAAUCACAAUUACAGUGCACAAAGAAAAGCUCUGGUGUCUUAGCUUCAACGAGAACAAAACAAAAUUAGUUGGAAAGAAGAUGUUUGGAACAGCACAAGGUAAGAAACAUCAACUUCACAGAACAUUGAUGGAACUUUGACAAGAAGCAGAGAAAGCCAACGGAAGUAACCAUACAUGUGUCUGAAAGGGUAAUGGGUGGUACAAUCAACUUACUGUUCACAGAAAGGCCUUCAGGUGGCUCCCAGACAACAACGCUGAAUUCUGAUUUCUUUUUCAUGUUUGUACUCUUGUUCUUGUAUUAGUGGCACCUUUUUUUUAGGAAGUUGAAUGACAAAAAGACUUAUGUAA